GGGGCUGUGGCUCAGUGGUAGAGUGCUUGCCUAGCACAUAUGAGGCACUGGGUUCGAUCCCCAGCACCA
rnacentral:tRNA from 1 species